UUAAUGAUGUGCGUAGGGAGGAAUAUGCAGGCUUAUAGUACUAGGGCACAACAAAAUCAUAGUCUAUAAUUUCCAGUGUGAGAAAAAGUGAGAUCAGGUGGCUAAUGUCCCAUCCUCAUUCUUGCUCACUGUAGACUCAAACCUCUGGUGCUAAGAGAGACAAGAAUGACAUAUAAAUCACAUAUUCUGGCUUGGGCUGCCCCCCACAUUACCUGUACCAAUCAUUAGAAAAUAAAAAGGAGAACAGAAUAUGAUCCUUCCUGUGUGUAGUGGGCUAACACAUGGAAAAACCAGAUGUGAACCUUUUUUUCUCUGAAAGAAGAUAUGCAGACCUUUUGCAUCAUUCUGCUACCGAAUUACCAAAAUUUCAUUCAAGGUCAGUUUUUAUUUGACUUUUGGUUCAUCUUUAAUCUUUAUUGUUGAGGGUGGAUCAACUCAGCUCCAUUUCUGAGGCAUAUUGGUAAAGUUGUCCACCUUUCUUGGCAAGCAAAUCUAGGGUAAGAUAAAGCUAGCUCAUCAAAGGUAAAAAAAAAGGCUGUAGUUGUCCUAUUUAUUUAGUAACAUUCGCAUAGUCAACAGUGUAAACAGGAUAAAUUUCACUAGAAUUAUUGCAUCAAGGUUGAGACAAUUUCCAGUCUAAAAGAAAAUUAAAACUUGUGUUGCAUAAAGUCAACAACAGCUAAAUGUUAUGGCAAACUACUGUCUAGUUUGAUAUGACCCUUUAACUAAUUGAAUGGCUACAGUUAACAGUUGACGUAAUUGUAGCAACAAUAUGUCAUGUUUCUGUUGCAAGCAUCUGUACCUUCAUGAAGAUUGCACCACGUUUAUGAGGCAAUCUGCAAGUGUAAUUGCACUUGUGUCUGAUUUGGUUCCCAUAUCCAUGUUGAUUUGGUGUCGACACUUGAUAGAUAUUUCUACCAAUGUAAUCAUCCUUUCUGGACUCUUCACUAUAUCUUGAUGGUAUGCCAAAACAAGUUGUGGCAUACAAUUCCUUUUGCUUUGCUUUCUCCUAAAAUUAAUGCAAGGCGCACAGUUCUUUUGCACAUUCCAGGAAAAAAAAAUUCUUUCUGCUUUGUCAUCUGCAUAAAAAAACUUGAAAUACCAAAAUCAGAAUUUGUACUCCGUCUUUUUGAAAUUGUACUUCCAGCAAGAACAUCUGAAGUUCCAUCUAGCAGUAACUGGUAAGUAUGAUGUGAAAAGAAAGCUCAAUGACUGGACAAUUUGUUCCGUUAUGCUUAUUCCUUGCCAUUUUAUUUAAAGUUUUCCCAUAUGGAGUUGCAACAAUUUGUGGGCAGAAUGCAGUGGGCAUUAGUACUCCAUCCUACAAGCGGAUAUAUGCUUGGCAGACAAAAAAUAAGGGAAAAAAGGGACAUGAAACAGCAUUUAUGUAUUAUAUGGUUCCUCCUUGGCCUUAGUUUGCUUGCAUGAUAUGUUUAGGCAUCACUUUCAUCGUCACCGUCACUGUCACUGUGUGUGUAUCUCUGUGUGCAAGGCUGUAAGCAUUGUACAGGAUUCUUCACUCUAGAGCAAAGGGCUUCAAUCUUUUUUACCCUACCAUCCCUUGAGUAUUCCAGACUCCAGAUGCUCCUCCUAUGACAGCUUUGCUGCGGAAAACCGCACUGUCCUGAGAUGCAGAUUCAAAGGAGUGUCCAACACACACACACACACACAUAUAAUAUUCCCUCUUCAGAUAACCUUCACUAUAAAUACAUGCCAACUGGGGCUGUGCUCUUCAUACCCUUCCAUACGUUCGGACGUUCAGUGCACAUCAUACAGAAAUAGUAGUAUAGUACUAUAGCUGAGUAGCAUCAGUACAGACUUGCUGCAGAAAACAUCAUGAGUUACUAUGGAAGCAGUUCUUCUGGUGGACGGGGUGGUCAGAGAGUUGAGUACGGGAGGACCUAUGUGGUGAGGCCAAAGGGAAGGCACCAAGCCACCAUUGUGUGGCUUCAUGGCCUAGGUGACAAUGGUGCAAGCUGGUCCCAACUCCUGGAUUCUCUUUCAUUGCCAAAUAUCAAGUGGAUUUGCCCCACCGCAGCAACCCAGCCUGUCACAGCAUUUGGUGGAUUCCCUUGCACUGCAUGGUUUGAUGUGGAGGAUACUUCAGUGGAUGGCCGUGACGACAUUGAAGGACUGGAUGCUUCAGCUGCGCACAUUGCAAACUUGCUGUCGUCAGAGCCGCCUGAUGUGAAGCUUGGGAUUGGUGGUUUCAGCAUGGGUGCUGCUGCUUCCCUCUACUCAGCUGCGUGCUAUGCUCAUGGCAAAUUCGCAAGUGGCAUCCCCUACCCAAUCACACUUAGCGCGGUCAUCAGCUUGAGUGGAUGGCUCCCUUGCUCCAGGACCCUGAGGGGCAAGAUGGAGAGCUCACACAUAGCUGCAAGAAGAGCUGCCUCCUUGCCUAUCUUACUUAGCCAUGGAAGAGCGGAUGAGGUUGUAUCCUACAGGAAUGCUGAGAGGUCAUCUGACACUCUGCGAUCCUCGGGGUUCUUAUAUCUGCAUUUCAAAUCCUACAAUGGGCUAGGCCACUAUACCAUCCCUGAAGAGAUGGACGACGUUGGCAAGUGGCUCAGCUCAAGGCUUGGCCUCGACAGAUCCCGCUAAGGACUAGUUCGGUUAAUCCCACUCACAAGGGGAUUGAGGAGAAUUUGGAGAUGAAUAAUUUCACACCUAUUGAGGUGUGGAAUUAAUCCCCCUCAAUCUCUCCCAUACGGGGAUUAACCGAAUAAAGCUUUAUGGAAGUAAACUUGUGCACUACACAGUCGCAACAGUACGUGGAAUGGAAUGGUGUUAACUAUGUGGAGGCCAAGGCUUGAUUGUGCUCUGUUACUUAUUAAGGAUUUUGAGCAUAUGUCACCAAGUGCCAAUAAUGCAUUGCGUUUUUUUUGGCAGAAAGUGAUCACUGCCUGGAGGACGGUAAAUCAUCAUGAUAUGAAAGUUGUUGUCAGUUUGUCACUGAACAAAAGAGCAUAUCGUCAGAGUUUCAGUUUGAACAGGUUAUGACAAGUUUAACACAUUGUAAUUAAGUUUACAGUUUCUAUUGGUAAACUAUAUUAAAGAAGUUAAAGGGCGAAAAACUUACAAAA